GCCGACCAGUGGAAGGGCACUGGUGGAGGGAAGCCUCAUUGGGGAAAGCGCACCUCGGUUUAAGAAUGUUUUCGGUGUAAGAACGGGCUUCCGGAACGAAUUAAGUUCAUAAACAGAGGUACCGCUGUAAUUUGAAAAGUGGGGUGGGCUUGUAUCAGUUAAGUCUCCUGCGCUGUGUAUUAACUCCUUGUGGAAAAGGUCUGUUUCCCUCAGAGUCCUGUUAAAAAACUUUUUAAAUAAUAGGGGGAAAGUUUGCUUCUUAACUGAAGACAGCCCACUCUUGAAAGUGCAAGUUACCAGCUUUGAUGAGCUAGACUAGAUUUUAGCAGAAUUUAAGAUGAACUGAAUGCUCAACUUUCAGUUCAGUCUUUUCUCACCACAACCUUUUUAACCUAGGAAAACUGAGCUUGUUGUCUCUCUCUCUCUCUCUCUCUCUCUCUCUCUCUCUCUCUCUCUCUGUGUGUGUGUGUGUACACACCCAUGAGGUUUUCUUACUGCUCCUCUCAUAGGAGCCAACCCCCAGGGGCUGAGGCCCCUUCUGCCACCCCAGUAAAAUACUUGAGGGGGAAGCCCCCCCCCAGUUGAUGGGCAUUGCCAUUCACAUGGUAUGGGUGCGCCCUGUCAUGUGAUCAAUUCUGUGGAGUGGGGCUUACCUGCCCCCCCCAUAUUUUAUUCAAGUUGGCACCCCUGACUCCUCUAAAACUGGAGUUUAGUCUACUUUACUGUCUCUGCUAGGGUCAUGCCAGUGGUGAAUAUACAUUUUGGGGGGCCUGAAACGUGAACUGUUAUGGAAGGCCCUUCACAACCAGCAACAAGGUCUGGGUAACCACUGUUAUCUUCUUCAGUGGGGUUGCUUUCAACAACCUUUACAACACCAGUGCUAUUGAUUCUCAAACUUUGGGAUUGUUGAAAUACAUACAACCAGAGAUUAAUCAACGAGUUGUGUGACUCAAAUUGUACCUACUAGACCAAAUUUUUUAAAGUAAAUGUGGACUAAAGUUGCUUCUGGAGCUCCUCCAGGAUUAGGGACCUUCCUUAGUUUCAUAGUACAUCCACCCCUGUUCCCUGCGCUGUGCUGUACGAGGGCUACAAAUGUGCUGAAUUCUUCUGGAAUUAGGACUAGCAUCACAUGAAUUCCCAAACACAGAUUAUGGUGAUAUCACACACACUUUUCUCUGCACGUAACAGGAACUUGCAAGAAAGCCAGCCAUGCAGACAGAACUUCAUACAGGGCCAUAGGAAGGGUGGGGGCAGUUCGCCCCAGGUGUUAUCCCUGAGAGGGGUGACAAAAUCCCCCCUGGGCGGAUCACUGCUACACUGAUCGCCCCCCAGGCGGAUCACUGCCCCGUCGAUCGCCCCGCCCCCAGGUGCACGCAUGUGUGCCACUCUGGGUGCCCAAUCAGCUAGCUCCGCCGCUGACUUCAUAUACAGUCAUACCUUGGUUCUCAAAUGCUGUGAUACUUGUACGUUUUGGCUCCCAAACCCAGAAAACCCAGAAGUAAGUGUUCCAGUUUUCGAACGUUUUUCGGAAGCCGAAGAUCUGACAUGGCUUCCGCUUGAGUGCAGGAAGCUCCUGAAGCCAAUCGGAAGCUGCGCCUUGGUUUUCAAACUGUUUCGGGAAUCGAAUGGACUUCCAGAAUGGAUUACGUUUGAGAACCAAGGUACGACUGCACUUUAAGGAUACAUAGAGUGCAAAAUUGUUACUGUGCUAUGCCUGAUGUACUAAUGGAUUCAGUGCAAUGAUCGCUUUAAAAAUGGUGGAAACCUUUUGGGUGAAUUUGGCCUAGUUACAACUCUUUGAGAGAAAGAAAAUUAUAUGUAUGCAGUAACAAUAGUAGUAGCAGCAGCAGAUGUUCUCACUGUAAAGUCAUUAUGCUUUUAUCUUUUCUAUGGGUUUUCUAAUGCACUUUCUCCGUCAUUGGGUGGGGUUAUUGUACUGGGUGUUCAACUACUCUGUAACUAUCCCUGUGACCCAGAAAAUACAUUUUAUUUUCAACGAUUUGAUCUGGCGACACCACAUUCCACACUACAUUCCAUACCUUUCCCUUCCUGAGUUUUAAGAAUACUCCUCCCCCCACCUUACAAAUUAAUGUCAGAGGUGCUGCUAAACCAAUGCUGGAGGCAGACACUUGGUUUGAUUUAUGAGUCUGAGGUUUGAAUGGCAACACACAGCCAUCAAGCUAUAGAUGGUGCAGACAGACUCUUUCCACCAUGUCUAGUCAUGUACCAUUUAGGUGUAAGACAGUUAUUCCAAAACACACUAUUCUUUGCAUGAGUUUCACUUCCACAAUACAGGCAUCUAUUCAUUUUUGUUAAUGAUCAAAUUGUUUGAUGUUUAAUACACCAAUCUGAAAUGUUACCACAUUAGAUGAGUGGUUCCCAACCUUUAUGGUAUGGUGAAAGCAUUCGAUAUAACAGAUUAUGAAUAUUUUAAAAGUUUUAAUCAUGAUAAAGCCCAUUUUGGCUACCAAGAAAUUUUGAUAACAUGAAACCAAAAUUCAGAUAAAUAGAAAAAUUUACUUCUGAGGAUCCUAUCAUAUGACAGUUCAAUUAGUUGUUGUCUGUACAAAAAGAACAACAACUAAUUGAACUGUCAUGUGAUAGGAUCCUUAGAGGUAAAUUUUUGGAAGGUCUGUUUCUUCAGCAGAAAAGUAGUGCACAAAUUUCUGAUUAAGCAAGCAUUAAAUCAGUCUUGGCUGAACUGUUAACUAAUGCCGCUGGCAAAUCCAAUCAUAUAAUUCUCUCUUAACAAUAUACAUCCAGUAAAUUUUAAAUUAACUUUCCAUAGUUUUUCCCAGUCUUCCAUUUGUGUAUUAUGUCCUCUAUCUUGUGCCCAUUUGAUCAUUAUAGAUUUGACCUCUUCAUCUUUAGUCUCCCAUUCUAACAAUAAAUUAUACCUUUUCUUUAGAAAUUUAAUAUCAUCAUCAUCAUCAUCAUCAUCAUCAUCAUCAUCUACAAUUUCUCUUUGAAAUCUAGAUAUGGUGUAACCAAAUCCUUUCUUGUCUUCUUUGAAAACCUCAUUUAAUUGACGAUGUUGCAGCCAAUCAUGAACGUGUUCUCUUAUCUCCUGAUAAUCCUUAAGUUAAGAAAGGAGGCUUUUGAUCUUAAUUCUCUUGAGAGCUGGCAGCCCAUGGCAUCUCUACAUGCCACCCCUUGAGUCCUGGCUUUGGGAUGCUGGAGAUCUGGCAGCCCUAGGAUCAUCCUAUUUAUAACUUAUUCCUCUAACAGGAGCUAUGCUUUCUUCCAGCAAGCUCAACAGGGCAUAGAUAGCUAUGCUGGCUGGGUCUGAUGGGUGGUGGUAUCCAACAUCUGGAGAGCCACAGGUUCAUUCCAUGAUGUUGUCACUGAGAGCCCCAAUUCACCCACAGUCAGUGACUGGAAACUUGACAGUAUAAAGUGCUAUUCCAUUUGGGUUUAAACUUUCUCAGUGGUUGGUAAGUACCCUGCAGUAGUAAACUUGGGUAGGGGAUUAGAAGAGAAAAUGGAAAUGAGGUAUUUAUUUUAUGUUGGGAAGGUAUAUUUUGUUUUGCUCUUCCUUUGUUGGUGUUUAAACUGCCAAUUACAAAAUUCUUGGAAUUGUGAACAAAAUAUCAGAAUCCAUCUACAUACAAACAUCCCUUGAUGUCUUCUUCUUCUUCUUCUUCUUCUUCUUCUUCUUCUUCUUUUUCUCCUUGUCAUCUGUCUGUUUUUAGAGACAAUGCAGUGUGUCUCUGAGGCGGAAGACAAACCGCUGAAGCACAGCACUGUGGCUGUGGAAACCACUAUCUCCUAACUGCUGCCUCCCAUAGUUUUUUCUGCUUAAAGAAAAGAAAUAAACCACACUAACCUCCCUGUCCCUUUCCCCAAUCUGGAUGUUAUAUAGAAAAAUAGUAACAGCAUUUUUUCUUUUGGUAUGGGUCAUUCUGUCCAAGAAUUUGGUAUGUGUUGCUCAUUAGAUUCCCGUUGUGGCCUGUAACAGUUAGUGAGCCAAAGAAAUGCUAUAAAGUAAGUCCUGGAUCUGUGCAUUCAAUAGCUCAUGAAGGCAGCCAAGAUCCUGCCAUAAGGUCAAAGUGUAGGAGAGAGUCUUUUGAAACUCAAUAAUCUGUCAACUGUUCUAGCGGAGGGGUGAGGGAAUCCAGAAACAGUGCUGUUCUAACUCCACACUGUCAGAAAGUAAAGAGAAUUUCCUCAAAUUCACCAUGUGCAAAAAUUGCAAUGGAUAUGCUUCUUCUGUGUCAAUUGUCAAGAAAAAUAAAUUGCAGCAUUGCACUGGUUAUAUACCAAUUGCCUUCUCAUUAAUGAUCUCAGAGCUCAUUUUUAGAAUAACAUGGAACACAUGUAUAGUUCCUACCCAUGCUGUGCCUGUCAACGUGUUUAAGUCUUUGGUCCAAGUUGACCCAUUUGCUUGUAAUGUUAGCACACCACCGAAUCAUGGCCUAGAUGGGUGCCUAAAGUUAUACACAGGUGGGCUUAUGCAUAUAGUAGGUGAAUUGAAACAAGGACUGAAUACUUUAUUAAUGUAUAAAGCACAGCCUUCAGAAGGGUAAGUAUACUUGCCAUAGAGGAGGAGGUUCUGCAGUCACUUAUGGACUCACUGUUAAGACCGUGUUCAUGGAAGAGAAUCUUACUCAGCUACAAGUGAUCGCCAAAGAGAAAAAAGAAGAUACUUGCCAUAAUCCAACACAGAGUUAGGCAAAUUUAAGUUGUCGAAGCCACUAUAUUUUUGAAAGUUUUCCAGUGCACGUUUGACUACGUUUGGGUUUUUCUUUCUCAUCAUGAAACCCAAUGUUCCCACUACUCAGUUUACUUGUGGGUGUGGCUUAGCAGGCUCUCAAAAGGCUCUGCUCCACCACGCUCAGUCUUUUUCUCUCUGUGCUUCAAAGAAAAACCAAAUGAUCUGAAUCUCUCCAAAAGGAAGAUUUUACAGCCUGCAUCUUUACAUGUUCCUUUUCCUAAGGAAAACAAGUACUGUACCUUUCUUUUUAAGUUGUUUGGAACCUUUGUUUGUUUGUUUCACUGCCAGCAGAUGGAGACUUGUUGAAGGUAAACAGCGUUUCCGUGCGCUCUGGUUUCUGUCAUGAUGUCCCAUUACACAAGAAGUGGUUUAGUCAUGCUAGGCACAUGACCUGGAAAGCUGGCUGUGGACAAACGCUGGUUGCCUUGGCUUUAACCAUCCAGGAGUCCUUUACCUUUACAUUUUUACGAGGGAGUAGGAAUUUCUCGCCAACAUCCACAUCACCUCAUCAACCAAUUCUUCCCUGUUGGUUAGGAUCAGGUUCAUGGAAGCCAAUUCCCUACUUUGCGGUUCUGAGGAAAAUAAGCCUUUGCACCUGCUAUUUAAUGUUUAAAACUUUGAUGUGCUUGGUAAUGACACAUUUAGCAUUGCAUAUCUUUUUUGUCCCUAAGAGACAUUCAAUGCUGCUUCACCUGCAGUUUCAUGGUUUUUAAUCAUACACAGUUCUGUCAUUUCAGAGUCAGGCUUUUAAAGGCCAUGUAUAUUGCUAGGCAAUCUCAACACAAUGACAGUUAAAUGCAAUACUUCAACUCUUAGCUUCCAAAAUGCAUUCUGCAUAAUUCAUAACAUAGGAAAAGCUGGAACACUAGGAGAGCCGCUUCUGAAUUCCAGUCAAAAUGCCUUAUGCAUCUUUCAUCCCUGUGAAGCAGCAUGGACCUAGAAUUAUAAUAAUAAUCAUGCUUUACACUGAUAUGGCUCUUUGUUUUGAGUAUGGAAAGCAUUUUUCAACAACCAUAAAUUGUUAACUCUCAGCAAACCCUUGUGGGGGGUUUUCAGUGUUAUUUUAAAAAGCCUUUAAAAAAAUAACAGCAAAUCAAAAAUUCUGCAAGCACAUAAUCAACUGCUUAAGAGGGAUUCUAGAUGGACAGUUAUAAGAGAGCUACAUUUGAAGCUUGUAUUAACUAGAUAGUAACAGUGAAAUAAAUACACUUAUGCACAAGCUCCCUCCAGUCAAUAAUAUUGAGUUCACCAAGAACAAGUGGGAACUUCCGCUUGCCAACACCAUGAUAAGUAGCAUGUGUUGUAUGACACUUAGCUAUUAUGUGUAACAAAUCAGUGUACACACAGGGGCUCUAAAUCAGUAGUACUAAUUCUUCUGAGCCAGACAAAACAUUCAGUGGGUGUUAAAGUGUUAGUGACAUAAAUAGAAGAUUGUCUAACGAACUGAUCUUCAAAACACGCUGCUGGCAUUAUGCCCAUUCUCUUCACAAGUUCUUAGCAUGGGCAAAGUGCUUUAAGGAUUACGCUAUCAAGGGGUCCAGUGAGCCAACAUUCCCUGACAUUAUUCUUCCCUAACAAAACUUCCCUAACAUUAUUCUGGCAGUAUGAUGUUAAGCUAAUUGCACCAUCUUAUUUUAUUUUUAACUACAAGCAUUAGAAUAACAAUGAUAAUUGUUGGCUGGCCAUGUCUGUCAGACUUUGGUAACUAUGGAGCAGUGUGGUAAGAGGUUUGGGAAGAUAUGGCUUCCCUACUUGAACAUUUUUGUAGAAGAGGGGAUUUCAACAGGUGCGGAGAUUUCUAUCCCCCACAUCUUUUUAACACCUAUGAUUUUUGCUUUCCAGUGUUCCUCCAUAGUUAGCAUCCUGCUUCAGAAAAUGAACCAUUAUUUUAUGCCAUAUUGUAGAAGCCUCCUUCUAAUACAUCCAUUUAUCCAUUUUACACACAGAAGUCAUAGUACCACUGUAUUCUGCCUUGGCCAGACAACAUCUGGAGUACUGUGGUGAGUUCUGGGUGCCACACUUUAAGAAGAAUAUUGACAAGCUGGAACGUGUGCAGAAGAGAUGAUCAAGGGUCUGGAAACCAAGCCAUAUGAGGUUGAGGGAGUUUAGUAUGUUUAGCCUACAAAAGAGGAAAUGGAGAGGAGAUAGGAGAGCCAUCUUCAAAUAUCUCAAGGGCUAUCACAUGGAAGAGGGAGCAAGUUUGUUUUCUCCUGCUCCAGAGGCUAGGACCUGAACCAGCCUAUCAAGUUACAUGAAAGGAGAUUCCGACUAAGCAUCAGGAAGACCUUUCUGACAGUAAGAAGGUAAGAGCUGUUCAACAGUGGAAUGGUCUCCCUCAGGAGAUUGUGGACUUUCUUUGCUUAGAGGUUUUUAAGCAGCGGUUGGAUGGCCAUCUGUCAUGGAUGCUUUAGUUGAGAUUCCUGCAUUGGGCUAGAUGAUUCUCAGGGUCCCUUCCAACUGUACAGUUCUAUCAUUCUAUGACAAGCAGGUCUGAACAAGCUUUUUGGCUCCUCUCUCCAACUUCAGCUCUCACCUUCUGUUCUUUUUAUUCUAAGGAAGGUUCAGAACACUCUGAACAAAAUCACAAUUUGUCCAGUAAUAGGGCUGGCCAUCUCCAGAAAGGCAAAUCAAGUAGCCUCAUAAUAGUGAUUCUGGUAGAACACUAAACCACAGGCUUGGAUAUGCUUAGCUUAAGUGAACAUUUGCUCACUUAAAAACUGCUGAGACUUGAUCUGGACUUUCCUAAGCUAUAGUGCAUAUAGUUUAUGGCUCAGUGUUGCUGCCAAAAAAUCCACAGGAGUUUGGCCAGCAUCUACCAGGCAGCUUAGCUGAACCAUUGUAGAUACAUAAAGAUUACAGUACCUCUGAUUUAAAACCAUGGUAGCCUUUCAGUGGCUUUUGUUUUACUUACAAAGUGUAUGCAUGAGGAGAAAUAAAAACAGUUGGCUUUGAGUAAUGAAUGGUGCAGUCUCAUACAUCUCUACUCAAAGGUAAACACCACAGUGUGCAGUGGGACUUACUCCCAGUAAAUUGUGUACAGGAUUACAGCUAAGAUUGUCCCACACACUCUUAAACGCUCAAGUCAAAAUAACAAAGACUGCAUGGUGUAGUGGUAAAAGUGUUGAACUAAGACCCGGGAGACUGCAACAAUCCCCAGUGUUAUCUGUGCCUGAUUCCCUCACAUUUUCCUUCCUCACAGGGUGGGUUCUGUCAGUUGGUCCAGAAUUGGGUGAGAUGUAAUGUCCAACUGGAGCAGGCCGGGGUAUUUUCUGUGGUUGCCUCCACUGGAAGGUUUUUUAUAACACAGUUGACCCUUCCCCGCCACUGCCCUUCUGGCAAAAUUGUCUUGGGUGAGCCCCUGAGUGACAUGCUCUGUGGACCUCAUUACAGCUAGAACAAUCAAGAUGUCGAUGGCCCACCAGGGGGCGCAUUGGAAGAUGGCCGACAAUAACAUCUCUCCGACCCACACAAG